CGGCUCCGCAGCCCCCGCGUGUAUCCUUCAGCUCCGUCCCCACUGCCGGAGGAACCCAUGGGGCCCCCAGGGCACAACCUGAGCUGCGUGUCCUAUAAGCACCCCAGUGUGCGGGGCAGCCUGGUGGGGGGGGAGGUGGGGGCAGCCCCCAGCACCGUUCGCUGCCCCCCCCGGCAGUGCUGCAUUGGGAUCUGGAACCGCAGUCAGGCGCUGGUGCAGGGCUGCUGGGGGGCGGGGGGGCCGCCUGCCCCUCUCCUUCCUGCACCCCCAGCCCCGCCGGACCCCCCGGAGCCGCUGUCCUCGUGUGCCUCUGCCACGGUCACCUCUGCAACGGGAACGCCAGCGGGAGGGGGGGCGGCGGGGGG
ensembl:lncRNA